rnacentral:ribozyme from 1 species
GGUUCCUGCUCCGGAGCCCGUUGACGAGGAGAAGGAUAAGGUUCCUGCUCCGGAGCCUGUCGACGAGGAGAAGGAUGAGGUUACCGCUCCGGAGCCAGUCGACGAGGAGAAGGAUGCGGCAUAG